UAAGUCAUCUAUUUAAUUAACUUAUAAGUUGAGGGGCUAUUUGUGUAAAUAAUUGAAAGUAUAAAACAAAGCUAACCUAACUCCUUUCUAUCAGCCGCAUCCCACACACAGACUCCCCUAUCCCCUCCUUGUUCACCGGCGACCGGUACCAGAUCUCGGCCGACACUCCGGUGACAUUCACCACGACCAUCUCCUCCACCCUUUGCCACAAACACCCACCUAAACUCCCCAUCAUCCUCGACCCUCUGCUCGCUUUCGUUCUUCUCCGACACAGACCACCGGAGCCGCAGAGCGGUGGCAACCAGCGACAGAAGGGCGGCGGGGCCGCCGGUGGACACUGGCAGUGGUGAUGGUGCUUAUACUUCUCAGUUUUACAGCUUCGAGUUCCUUUGUGUUUAGCUCACUCGAUUCAGUUUUGAAGUUUGGUUCGGUUAUGGUUCAUCUCAGACUCAGUUCGGUCCUGGUUCAGGUUCGGGUUCCGGCCGACGUGAAUGAACUCCGGUGGACAUCAGUCCGAUUUGUUUCUAUUCAGAUUUAAUCUCGGAUUGAUGCUUGGUUCAGGUCUCGCUUCGGGUCGAGUCUCACAGCACGAGUCAGCCGCGAGUACGGGUGUGAACCCGGAUCCAUACACCAUCGCUGUCACUGUGUCCUUACUUAGGAUAAACGCUCUCGUUCGUUCUCUUGGAUUCCCAAUCUUUCCUCGUACGUUGCUUACAAGCAAUUCUUAUACGUAAUCAAAGUUGAUGAGGAUGAUGCUAAGAAAAGAAGUAGCGUUGAUGCCUAGAUACACAUAUAGAUGUUAGGGUUUAAUAUGUUGUAUCAAUUUUGUUAUGUUGUCAUGUUAUUUUUGUUAAACUUGUUGUAUUUGAAUUUCUUGUAAUGUUGACAAUUUAUCUUAUGAAAUGAAAUCGGAUUAUUUAAA